rnacentral:lncRNA from 1 species
UUUUUUUUUUUUUUUUUUUUUGAAGGUGACAACUGAACAAAGUCAUGAAAAAGUAAGCGAAAGAGCUAUGCAGGUAUGUGAGGAAAAUAUUCUAGGUAGAGGGAAAAGCCAACACAAAGGCUAUUAAUAAAUUGCUGGUGCUUUCCAGCAAAAGCAAUUGGUCAUUGUGGAAGAAACAGAGUGAACAAGGGAGAAAGGUAUGGGAAAUAACAUGAAGGGGGAAAAGAGCCAGAUCAUGUAGGGCCUCCAGGACAUGGUGAGUGCUUUGGCUUUUACACCGAGUGAAAUAGGGAGCUACAAUAGGGGUUUGAGCAGAUGAGUGACAUAAUCUGAUUUACACUUAAAAAAAUUCUGGUGGCUAGAUUAAAAAUAACUGUGGGCAGGAGCAGGGAGAUGAAUUAGUCUAUUGCAGGAGGUGACAGUAGCUUUAACCAAAGUGGUGAUAGUGGACGCUCCAGGCAAAUAGGGUGUCAAAAGCCGAGGUGCAGAGAUGGAAAGUUCAGUUCAAGGCCGGUAUCAGAACUGUGAGCAAACCAGUUGUCUUUCUAACGGGGGAAGGAAAAUGACAGCUGCCAUUUAUUGAACAUUCACUAUGUGGCAAGCAUUGUGCUAAAUUUGAUACUCCGGCGACCUCUUUUAGUCUCCAUGACAACCCUGUAAAGACAUUUAGAAUUUAGAACCUUUCAUACAGUUCCAUGACUAAAACGUAGCACACCUGGCAUUCCAACCCUUCAUUUCAUUCUACUCUAGCACUAAAGCUAGAAGGGAAGCUUGAGGCCACAUUGUGGAGUGCCAAGAGGUUUGAACUUUUGCCUGGUUUGAACUUUUACCUUCUUAAUCUUUUCCCCGCAUCCCCACAUUUGAGGACAGGACACCUCCAGGAACUGCAGCUCAGCAACAGGGGUUCAGCGUGAGCGCGGCCUGGGGAGGGUCAUCGCCUUUUUGGGGAGUGUGGGGAGAAACGCGGCUCGCCUUGUCGUGGCUGGCGAUACGCCUCUGCAGGAAGGGUGUGUCUCCCCGCUUGAGGAUUCUCCCUAUAGAUAAAGAGGAGACUCAGCAGAGCCUUAAUUAGAGAUCACAGAGGACUGACAACGAGCGUCCGGAAGACGAAUUGGCAGCGAGGUGCAUGGAUUCGAUACAGAAGCUGGAGAUAGAGUCCAGCUAACAGACCACUGCAGUUCGACGGAGCCAGAGUGAGGCAACGAGGAGAGAUGUCGGGGAAGGAAAGGGGAUGGGACUUGGGGACUGGAGCGGCUCGAGAGCGACGGAGAAGGGGGCGUUAGGCUCUAAGGAUUCUCUUACUGUGCCUCCUCCCCGUGUCCUCGGGUGGCGGCUGCGCAGCCCUCCAGCCCUCAGAGCUGCCCUGCAGCACCUUGGCCACUAGGAGGCAGGCCCGCCUUAUCUGGAGCCCCGGCCGCCGCUCACUCCAGGGAGGGCUGCGCUGCUGCUUAAAUUCCAAGUCAGGCCAGCCCCUGGAACGCUUAAUGGGAGCUUAGAUUUAGAACAGUUGAUUUUCAUUGAGACGGAAAUUUGGACAGUCUCCCACUUGAUUGAAAACGGCUAGAAACAAGGCUUACGGUAGAGCAAUGAAUGCCAGAGUGCAGGCGCCGGUGCCCAGGCGGCCCGGGGAACAGGAGGGCCGGAGGAGGAAACAGCUGCCUGCAAAACACCAGCAGCGCCCUUAAUUAACACCAGUGCUGGCCAGGGGGAUUGUGCUUCCGGAAAUUCCCAACGUCCUUUCCCUGCUUGCCCAGGGCCAUUCCAUUAUACAGUUUCAGACCAGUCCCAGGUCUGAAAUGGAAAGAGAUGUUACCCUAGAUGCCCGGAGACAGCGGGGCCGCAGAGACCUCGCACAGCCGAAUAGCAGUGGAGCAGAGCACAUCUGCUGGUGGGUUCAACAAAAGGGGCUCCCUUUAAAGAAGAAGACUGAGAAGCUGGAAUGAAUCCAGAGGAAAGGAUGAAAAGCACUCGUUUGAUUACUGAGAGGAUAGCUGGAGAAGUGAAGAAUAAUGUGAUGUUCAGCUCAAACUCCUUGGGGGAAUUCGGUUGUGAAAAUGGAAUUACCCAAGUUGGAUUCCGCCCAGGAUGCCAAGCUUAAGUUAUUGGGGGCUGACUUUGGAGAAGCCAGUACAGUCCAUCAUACUGUUUUCUCAACUAGUUCAUCGUGACAUUCUGAGAUUUUGAAAGGACACCUUUUCCGUGUCAAGCCGUCCCAGGGUGGCUAAUAUGCCUUUGCUCAUUUUUGACAAGACAGAGGGAGGACAGGGUGACAACACAGCAGGAUAAAAGGGGAGAGAGUGGCUGGAUGCUGGCUGUUUAUGCGUGGAUGUUGAGAGUGGAAAAUGCAGAUGGAACUGAGGGUAAGAUGCCAGGGAGUUGCAAGAGGGCUCCUUCUCUGAAUAACCUCAUAUUCCAGAAAACUCAUAAAAUUGGAAAAUAGUUUUAAACAGUGGAAGCCUUCUCUGAGGCAUUUAUAUUCCCUGUUAAUAAGGUCACAAAUAAUCACCUUUAUUAUCAAUCCAAAUAAAGUAUAUGAUGCUGCUCAUGGUAGGAUUGGGAGAGAACCACCCCAAAAUACCUCCCCAACUAGCCUAGUAAGGUGCCUACAGGUUCUACCCAUACUCUUUCUUUGAGUAAAAGCACUAGCUUUCAAAUAUCCUGAGAAAAUGCUGGUAUUUUAACUGGGAGAAGAAGAUCAAUGGACAGGGACAGGGUUGGUUUAUUUAGCUGUCUGCUAAGAGUGCAAGAGAUUUGCGAUGGACUGAAUGUUUAUGUCUCUCCCAAAUUCAUGUAUUGAAAUCCUAAUCCCAAGGUGGAGUAUUAGGAGGUGGGGCCGGUGCACAACAGCAAGUGCUCUCACAGUGGAGAGCUCUGGGAAGGCAAAAACAUCCAUGUGUUUGGAGGACCCAGCAAAUGAGCCAGCAGAUUCAUGCCAACAUAGACAUGUGUGAGCUACUUAAUGGUUGUGGCUUCACUACUUCCCUCCAACUUUCACACAAUAUCUCCUGUGGUCCACACUAAUGGGAAACACGCAGCAAAGGGAAUUCUGGGAAAUGCAGUUCAGCCUCAUCAAGUUGACACCCAUCAAGCCACCAUACCAGGUCAGUUGAUUCCAGGAUGUGUGGCCUUUCCAUGACAACACAUUGCCCCUCCUCAAAUGGCUCUGUCCAUUGCUUGCUCAAUCUUUACACCCAAGAAAGGCAUUCUUCCUAGGUCAGCUCAGUUUAAGUAUUGAUACCACAGGCCUGGAACAGGGCAAGGCACGGUGGAGAAGGAUCAAGAGGUGAGCAUCAUCCUGAGGAGACCCUACAACAAUUAAACUGCAGUUGGAAAGAAAAAGAGUCUCAUCCUUGGGGUGAGCAUAGUAAGGGUGAGGCACUUGGUCUUCCACAUAUCCCUGGCCCCCAGUACCACUUUCUCCCAUAGCCCCAGGUACAGCUGUGCCGUCUCUGUACUGCACUAAAGUGUCCAGCCGAGGGGGAGGGAAGACAGUGGGCUGAAUUAUAGCCCUGCCUUUCUCCCCAGUCUCAGAGAUGUUUCAGCCCAGAGGAAUAAAAGCUUUUUUCCCAAUCCAUGGGCCUGAAGGAGCCACCUUUUUAUAAUUUGCACAAAGGCAUUAGAGGUAUAACUGUGCCCCUUGAAUCAUCUGCCUAUAGCUGUCUGACAUAAUAAAAAAUAUAUAUUUGGUCUUUUACCCCAGUUCCUGACACAUGGGUCUUAAAACCCUCAUCAUUUCCUGAAUGAUAGGAGUAAGAGGAGCACCAUUUGUUAUAUUUGGUCUUAUUCUCUGUUCCCUGGCACAAGAGCUUUUAAGAACCUUGGAAUCUCCAGAGUGAUGACUGUCUUUUUUAUGCUAAUGAGAUGACUAGUACCUGGGGUCCCUAGCCAGCUUCAGGAUGAGGGCUGGUCACCUGAAAGACCAAGCCUUGAUGACAGGGUUAGAACUUUCAGCCAUAUCUCCCUUCCCCAUUCCCCACCUCAACUUCCUGGGAGGGGAGAGGGGCUGGAGAGUGAGUCAAUCACUAACAGCCAGUGAUUGAACCAACCAUAUCUACACAAUGAACCCCCCAUAAAAACCCUAAACAACGGGGUUCAGAGAGCUCCUGGGUUGGUGGACACAUUCACGUGUUGGGAGGGUGGUGCACCCCAACUCCAUGGGGACAGAAGCUCCUGUACUUGGUACCCUUUUGGACCUCCCUCCAGGUACUGCAUUGUCUGUGUGCUCAUUUGUAUUCCUUAUACUCUCCUUUGUAAUAAACUAGUAAUGGUAGAAUGUUUCUGAGUUCUGUGAGCCACUGCAGAAAAUUAUGAAAGCUUAGGGGAUUGUGAGAGCCCCUGAUCUGUAGGCAAGCCGGAAGUUAUGGGUCACCUGGAGACCCACUACUUGCAAUUGGCAAAUGAAGUGGGGGCAGUCUUGUGGGACUGAGUCCUUAAUCUGUGGGGCUUGUGUUAACUGUCAGCACAAGCUAACCAGUGUCAUAAUUGAAGUAAAGUGGACAUCCAGCACCCAGUUGGUGUCCCCAGAGAAUUGGAGAAUUGCUCAGUAUGACCCACACAUUUGGCAUCAGAAGUGUGAAUAGAGAAAAGGGUUUGUUGUUGUUGUUUGUUUGUUUUUCAUUUGAGAAAGCCAAGCCAGGACAGUUUGCCCAGACUUCAGAGACUGCCUUCAGGCUAGCUCAGCUGCUGGUCUACCUGGCUUAAGCCUGAGAGGACCUCCAUGUGAGGAAAGUCGGAGCAGAGAUGAAAAACCAAACAACUAGUUUUACACUGGUCCUCCCAAAGCAUCAGGACAAUGCCACCUUUGUCAGGGCUUUGAAAAGAAAAUAAAUAAUUGUUAACAGGAUCACAUACUUGGUAUUGUGCUGAGGAUGUUAUAUGAAUUAUUCAUUCAAUAAGUGUUUAUUGAUGACCUACUAUAUGCCAGAAAAUAUUCCAGGUGCUGAGGAUAUAGAAGAAAACAGACAAAAAUCCCUGCCCUCAUGGAAUUUACAUUCCAAAGGGAGAAAGGUAAGAGAAUUUAAAAAGUAAAAUAUAUGAUAUGGAAAUGAUGAUAAAUGUCAUAUAGAAAAAUAAAACAAAGAAGGGUGCUAGGAAAUGCUGGUGAGAGUUGAGGAGGGGAAGGUAGCUCUUUUAAAUGUGGUGACCUGGUAAAGAUCUCACUUCAAACUGAUCUGGGGCCAGGUGCAGCGGCUCAUGCCUAUAAUCCCAGCACUUUGAGAGGUGUAGGCUAGAGGAUCGCUUGGGUUCAGGAAUUUGAGACAUAGCGAGAGCCUAUCUGUAUUUAAAACAACAAACACAAACUGAUCCAGAGGACAUUGCAUCAGACAGAUUAUAUUGUUAUCAUUUCACAGAUUAGGAAACUGAAGCUUAGAAUAUGAAAUCUUUUUCUUAGGAAAAGAUCUGUUUUCAGCUAUUCAUAUGUUAGAGUCUAUCUCUUCCCUAAGUAUUUGCAUGGCACUUGUUCUUUAGCAGUAGAAUGCAAAGCAAUUUGUACACGGUUAAGGAAUUUUAACACCAAAAGUUGUGCUGAAGGUCUGAGAGAAGAGGAGAGCUUUCAUCUCUUGGGACUCCUACAAUCACAAUGCCUUGGUUGGUGGGUCCUGCGUAUCUAGUCUUCCUCUUGACCUAGAACAAACCACUUCUGAUGCUAGGCAGGGCUCUGUGGCCACAGAACAGCUUUAUGUUGUAGUUUUCUCAGCCAAUUUUUAAUUAGACUUUGUUUUUGUUUUAGCAGUUUUAGGUGCACAACAACAUUGAACAGGAAGUACAGAGUGUUCCCACAAACCCCCUACCCUCACACCAUACAAUCUCCCCAACUAAUGACAUAUUGCCAGAACAGACUUAUUUACAAGGUUAACUUUUUCCCUGUCCUGCCCCUUUCUCACAGAUCAAAUCCGGGCUACAGAUUCCGUUGGUAUUGCUCUUUGGGUCCUGAGUCCCCCAUUGCCUACCUGGGCUGCCCAGGCUGUCAGGGGCCUGCCAUUCUCUCCUUGCAGAUGCACAGUACCUGCAGAGGAUGUACAACGGUGAGCAGGGCAAAUGGGCAAACAGAUGUCAUGGCUCCACAGUACUCGGGGCUGCAAGCUGUGUGGCUGAGGGCUGUUCCUGCCUCGUCCUGUCAACUCAGAGAACCUUCUCCCAGCCAAAGUUAUAAAUUCUUUUCUAGGAAUUUCUCAGCCCUGGAUUUCCCCUUUUGCUUUUUAGUUUCUCAUCCUGAGUUGGCUCAGUCUCUUCUUCAGACUUGCCUAAAAACUCCCCUUUUAGUGUUGAGCCUUGAAUAAAUUUUUGUCUGCUGCCACGGCUGAGUCACUGCCUAGGUGCUGUGUCCAUACUGUCUCUAGAAGGCUGCCUGGCCCUGGGGCUGAGAGGAAGCAGCGUCCAGCCAGACACCCACACUUUCAGACAGAGCCGCUUCUGAGAAGCAGUGGGGUAGGAGUGUGUCAUCUGCUGGAGGGU